UUCCCCAAGACAAGACAACUCCCACCUAGUCUGCACCAAUGCAUGCCAACACUACCACCUAGCCUGCACCUAUUCUGCAAGAUUCCCACGCAUGCCUUCCACGUGUCCAAGUUUUGCAUCAUCAGAUUCCACCAAGUCUUCCCCAAGACAAGACAACUCCCACCUAGUCUGCACCAAUGCAUGCCAACACUACCACCUAGCCUGCACCUAUUCUGCAAGAUUCCCACGCAUGCCUUC
rnacentral:lncRNA from 1 species